CCUCGACCUAUUUUGCAAGUGACCGCUUAAUACAGUUAUACAAAACAAUAAAAAAUUAUGAGGGCUGUGCGAAUUUAGUACACAUGACGCAAAAAUCUCACAACUUGUCCACAAGAUGUGUUCGCAACAGGUUUGUAGCAAGCUGGUCAACAAGUUGCAACAAUGUUGUUAUUUUAUCAAGUUGCUACAAGGUUGUCACUCACAACUUGUUGACAAAUUGUUGAAUUACAGAAACAAGGUUGAACGUUGAAGGACGAUAACAAA